GCAGCUGCGAGGAAGGGCGCGUUACAACCCCCGGCCGACAAGGCAGCCCACACCCGAGCUGGGGACACCCAGGCGGAGCGCUCCGCCAAAGGACGGUGCUUAGAUCGCCCAGAGCGGGAGAGGUGCCCAGGUGAGGUGGACGCUGCUGGUCCAGGACCGCACCGUGAGAACCACGGUCCUGACCAAUAGGGACUGACUGAGGCCUGCUGCCGGAGCCCGCCCAGCACCCAGCGUGGAGAAGCUUUGCUACCAGCUUCAGCUCCUGCCAGAGAGCUUCCAGCCUGCUCUUCCUGACAACCUGUCCUACCGAUCUCAUACUUGCCUAGCCACCUCUCAUGAUUGCAUUAGCCAAUUCCUUGUGCUACAUCCCUGACUGAUAACACCUGUUGAUGGAUAUUUGGGUAGUUUCCAGUUGUGGACUAUUAUGAAUAAAAAUCCUAUGAACAUUUGAGAGCAAGUCUUUGCAUGGAUAUAUGUUUUAGUUUUUCUAGGAUAAAUACCUAGGAGUGGAAUUGCUGGAUCAUUUGGUGUGCAUUAAACUUUAUGUGAAACUGUAAAACUAUUUUAAAAAUUCCUGUACCAGUUUGCACUUCUGCCAGAAAUGUAUGAAAAUUCUAGUUGCUCUACAUCUUUGUCAGCACUUGGCAUUGUCAGUCUUCUUAAUUUUAGCCAUUCUAGUGGAUGUAUACAGUGACAUGUGAUUUUUAUUUAUCUUUUUUUGAU